UGUCUUCUGCCUGGAGCCGUCAUCCUUUUCUCAUGCCUGGCUUUCUUGCUCGUCUCAUCUCAAAUGAAGCCUCUCCUCAGACAGGCCCUGCCUGGCCUCUCUCCUUCACGCCACUCCUGACGUUCUGUGUUGUGUGUGCGGUCUGGUUACCCCGGAGCCUGGAGUGGGCAGGACCGCAGGACUAAUGUGGCCCCGGUGUGCACUGACGCAGACUAGCCUGUGCUCAGGAAACACGCGUGAGUGAGCUGACGGCGCCCGGCCCUCCACCUUCCACAUCAAAUAUGCUUCGUUUCUUAAGUUGCUAAUUCUAGAAACAACCAAGGACAAAUCAAGUGUGAAUUUGUGUAUAUAUAUGAAGGUAUGCUGGCCAGCGUGACUCAUCAUCCUUCGUUUCCUGUUUCCUGCCUUAGCAUGAUCAGGAAGCGGGAACCAUCCAAGUGCUCCGUCAAGGCUCCUGAGCGGCUGUCCUGUCAGCUUAAGACGUGCCAGUGCCUCUUAGGAAGUGCUCGCUCACCCGCAGACGCUCUUCAGAGCCCCCUCCACGCUCCCCAGGACAGGCGCGGGGGUCCAGUCCCUGCCUUGCUGGCUCUGUUAGUCGAUGGUUAGCUGAACUAACAGCAGAUCCGCAUUUCCUACCAGCUUGUGAGCCAUUCACUUGCAUCGGCUUUUAUGAAAUCCUGCAUUUUGGG